rnacentral:rRNA from 1 species
UACGUAGGGGUCGAGCGUUGUCCGGAGUUACUGGGCGUAAAGCGUGCGCAGGCGGCUCAUCGCGCUCGGCGUGAAAGCCCCCGGCUCAACCGGGGAGGGUCGUCGAGGACGGGUGAGCUUGAGGGUAUCAGGGGUUGGUGGAAUUCCCGGUGUAGCGGUGAAAUGCGUAGAGAUCGGGAGGAACACCAGUGGCGAAGGCGGCCAUCUGGAUCAACACUGACGCUGAGGCACGAAAGCGUGGGGAGCAAACAGG